rnacentral:rRNA from 1 species
UACGAAGGGUGCAAGCGUUACUCGGAACUACUGGGCGUAAAGGGUGCGUAGGCGGUUCGUUAAGUCUGUCGUGAAAUCCCCGGGCUCAACCUGGGAAUGGCGAUGGAUACUGGCGAGCUAGAGUGUGUCAGAGGAUGGUGGAAUUCCCGGUGUAGCGGUGAAAUGCGUAGAGAUCGGGAGGAACAUCAGUGGCGAAGGCGGCCAUCUGGGACAACACUGACGCUGAAGCACGAAAGCGUGGGGAGCAAACAGG